GACGAACGCUGGCGGCGUGCUUAACACAUGCAAGUCGAACGGAAAGGCCCUGCUUUUGUGGGGUGCUCGAGUGGCGAACGGGUGAGUAACACGUGAGUAACCUGCCCUUGACUUUGGGAUAACUUCAGGAAACUGGGGCUAGUACCGGAUAGGAACUCCUGCUGCAUGGUGGGGGUUGGAAAGUUUCGGCGGUUGGGGAUGGACUCGCGGCUUAUCAGCUUGUUGGUGGGGUAGUGGCUUACCAAGGCUUUGACGGGUAGCCGGCCUGAGAGGGUGACCGGCCACAUUGGGACUGAGAUACGGCCCAGACUCCUACGGGAGGCAGCAGUGGGGAAUAUUGCACAAUGGGCGGAAGCCUGAUGCAGCAACGCCGCGUGCGGGAUGACGGCCUUCGGGUUGUAAACCGCUUUCGCCUGUGACGAAGCGUGAGUGACGGUAAUGGGUAAAGAAGCACCGGCUAACUACGUG
rnacentral:rRNA from 1 species